UAAUAGUUAUGUUCUUGAAAAUUAAAGAUUUUGGCGGUAUUUUAGUCYAUUCAGAGGAACCUGUUCUGUAAUUGAUAAUCCACGAUUAAAUUUACUUGCAUUAAUUAAUUUGUAUAUCGUUGUAAUAGAAUAUUUUAUAAGAAUUAAAUGUUCAUAAUUUUUAAUUAGAAAGUAAAUCAAAUCAAGGUGCAGUUUAUAUGUAAGAAGAAAUGGGUUACAAUAAAUUUAUAUUUAUGGUUUUUAAUUUUAAAAGUUAUUAUAAAUUGGAUUUGAUAGUAAUUUUUUUUAUAUAAAAAAAAUGAUUUUGGCUCUAAAAUAUGC
rnacentral:rRNA from 1 species